AGAGUUUGAUCCUGGCUCAGGAUGAACGCUAGCUACAGGCUUAACACAUGCAAGUCGAGGGGAAACGACAUCGAAAGCUUGCUUUUGAUGGGCGUCGACCGGCGCACGGGUGAGUAACACGUAUCCAACCUGCCGAUAACUCGGGGAUAGCCUUUCGAAAGAAAGAUUAAUACCCGAUAGUAUAGUAUUUCCGCAUGGUUUCACUAUUAAAGAAUUUCGGUUAUCGAUGGGGAUGCGUUCCAUUAGAUAGUUGGCGGGGUAACGGCCCACCAAGUCAACGAUGGAUAGGGGUUCUGAGAGGAAGGUCCCCCACAUUGGAACUGAGACACGGUCCAAACUCCUACGGGAGGCAGCA
rnacentral:rRNA from 1 species